ACUAAAGUAGUUUAUAAAAACACCAGCCUGUGGAACUGGAGUAACUGGUUAAAACCCGGUCUUAAGUC
rnacentral:tRNA from 15 species